UGGGGAAUAUUGCACAAUGGGCGCAAGCCUGAUGCAGCCAUGCCGCGUGUGUGAAGAAGGCCUUCGGGUUGUAAAGCACUUUCAGCGAGGAGGAAGGUGGUGAACUUAAUACGUUCAUCAAUUGACGUUACUCGCAGAAGAAGCACCGGCUAACUCCGUGCCAGCAGCCGCGGUAAUACGGAGGGUGCAAGCGUUAAUCGGAAUUACUGGGCGUAAAGCGCACGCAGGCGGUUUGUUAAGUCAGAUGUGAAAUCCCCGGGCUCAACCUGGGAACUGCAUUUGAAACUGGCAAGCUAGAGUCUCGUAGAGGGGGGUAGAAUUCCAGGUGUAGCGGUGAAAUGCGUAGAGAUCUGGAGGAAUACCGGUGGCGAAGGCGGCCCCCUGGACGAAGACUGACGCUCAGGUGCGAAAGCGUGAGGAGCAAACAGGAUUAGAUACCCUGGUAGUCCACGCUGUAAAACGAUGUCGAUUUUGGAGGUUGUGCCCCUUGAGGCGUGGCUUCCGGAGCUAACGCGUUAAAUCGACCGCCUGGGGAGUACGGCCGCAAGGUU
rnacentral:rRNA from 1 species